UUUGAUGAAGGGCUUUGUUUUCUAUAUUUCCCAAAAUGGUGAAUAUAUUCCUUAUAAAAAUCUUAAGCAGUUUUUAAAAAAUUUUAAUGUAAAGAGUUAUCUCAUUUGGCCACUCGAUUUAAGACGAUUUAAAGACUUAAACCUAGCUAAACGGCUUAUCUGCUCUUAGCUUUAAGCUACUUCAUCUAUUGGAUAUAGCCAAUCAUGCGCGCAUCUGGGUUGCUUACCGACCGGCAGACUACAGUCACUUACUUCUUGUAUCUUGCAGAAACAUCUUGCCAAAUUCCUAUUUCAUAUUCCUAUUUGUUUUCCUUCUUGAAGUUCAAUAAUGUCUUCAACAUCCAAUAUCUAUUUUUCUGAAUGUGAAAGAUUAAAAACCUUUCUAGAAAAUGGAUGGCCUCACUCCUUUUUGAGUCCUGAAGCAAUGGCCAAAUGUGGAUUUUAUUAUACUGGUGUCAAUGACGACGUAAAAUGCCCAUUCUGUAAUGUUGUGCUUUGUGAUUGGAUUAGUGGUGAUGUACCCAUCAGAGAACAUAUCCGUGCAUCAGGAAGAUGUCAAUUUGUGAAUGGAUACGACGUGGGGAAUAUCUUCAUAGGCGAUGAUCCAAGAGAAAUAUUUGAUUCGACCCCAGGAGAGGAUGUGUGUGGCUUGUUUACACCUAAAAUCACUGCAUCAAAGCAGAUUGAUGAACAAAAAAAGUUAUCAAAAAAUGCAAAGAAAAAAUUGAGAAAAAAAAGAAAAAAAUCGGAGCUUAAAGAUAAUGAACUGCUGUCAUUGGAUGACAAAUUGGAUGACGAGACUAAUUUUGAUAUUGAGUAUAUCGAGGAUGAACUACCGAAAGACUCACUUUAUUAUCAAUUUAUGGAAGUUUUUGAUAAGUUCAAAGUGGUUAGUGCUGCCGAAGAACCAGUGACCGGUGAAAAUACAGACCCAGCCAAGACAAUUUUAAAAAGAAAACAACCUGGUGAAUUAGAAUUCUUUGAAGACAAUGAACAAAAAAUAUCUAAAAGAAAAUCCAAACUGCUCAAAAGAAUGACCGUUGCCGAGCUUAAAUUAAAAGUGGCCCAUCCAGAAUUAGUUGAAAUGGUUGAUAUCACUGCUAAAGAUCCACUUUUGCUGCUUAAUUUAAAAUCGAUAAGAAAUUCUGUCCCUGUUCCCCGUCAUUGGUGUUUUAAAAGAAAGUACCUGCAAGGCAAAAGAGGUUUCGAGAAGCCCUCAUUCGUACUACCUGAUUUCAUCAAAAAAACUGGAAUCAUGGAAAUGAGAAAUGCGCUGCAAGAGAAAGAGGAUGCGAAAUCUUUAAAAACUAGACAAAAAGAAAAAAUACGACCAAAACUUGGGAAAAUUGAUAUUGAUUAUCAGAAACUUCAUGAUGCAUUUUUCAAAUGGCAAAGUAAACCCAAAAUGACAAUUCAUGGAGAAAUUUAUUAUGAAGGAAAAGAAAAUGAAACCAGAUUAAAAGAGAAAAAACCCGGUGACUUGAGUGUGGAAUUAAGAGUUGCAUUGGGAAUGCCAACUGGCCCUAAUGGGCAUAAAUGUCCACCUCCAUGGCUUAUUGCUAUGCAGAGGUAUGGUCCUCCGCCAUCCUAUCCAAACCUUAGAAUUCCGGGCCUAAAUGCUAAAAUACCUGAUGGAUGCUCUUUUGGGUACCAUGCUGGUGGUUGGGGUAAGCCCCCAGUGGACGAAUUUGGUCGACCACUUUAUGGUGAUGUAUUCGGUACAAAUACAACUGAAAACGAUUUGAAUGAGGAAAAAGUAGAAAAUCAAUUAUGGGGGGAAAUCCAAUCCGAGGAAGAGGAAGAAGAAGAGAAGGAAGAAGAAGAAGAAGAAGCAGAAAAUGGGAAAUUUACUGAUGAAGCAAACGAGAGUGGAUUUUUUACAGCGUCAGAUGAGUUGGAAGCAUCUUCAGUGGACAAAGGAAUGGAAACACCAGCUUUUAUCGAAUUGAGAAAGAAAAAGAUAGAAGAUGAAAUGGAGAGCAAUGAGAAUGCUUCUUUUUUUACAAUUAUUCCUGAAAAACAAACGGAAAGAGUUGGCAAAGAAAUGAUGGCAUCCACUCAUAUCUAUGAUGUGACAGGUUCUCUGAAGAAAGGACAAGGAGUCGAGGUUGCACUGGAUCCAAAUGAUUUGGAAAUGCCUGUUGCUGGAUUAACAGCUAAAUACGAAAAAUCAUUGAAAGAGCAACAAGCUAGCAUAGCCAAAGAAGAUUUAAGUGAUAUGGUUGCUGAACACGCGGCCAGGCAGAAGAGGAAAAAAGUUCAAGACACCAGUAAAUCCAACAAGAAAUAUAAAGAUUUCAAGUUUUGACCUUUUUUGUGUAUUUUGACAUAUUUUCAUUAUUAUGACCAAUCCAUUAAUUUUGUAAACAAAUUGAACUUUAAAUCUUAAUAAAAUUGCGUAUAUGUACAAUCUACAUAUAAUA